rnacentral:misc_RNA from 1 species
UUAAGUUCAGCGGGUAUCCCUACCUGAUCCGAGGUCAAACUAGAAAGGAGCUUAAUGGGAGGAGGUCUGCCAGAAUCGCGACGCAAUGUGCUGCGCACGAAGCCAACAUACCGGCUGCCAAUGAAUUUGAGGCGAGUCCACGCGCUGAGGCGGAACAAACACCCAACACCAAGCAGGGCUUGAUUGAUUAAAUGACGCUC